rnacentral:hammerhead_ribozyme from 1 species
AUCCAUCUGACGAGUCCCAAAUAGGACGAAAUGAUCAUUCUGGAU